UUUUGUAUUUUAUUGACCUUGAUACCGUUUUGAGUAGUAUACAAUUUGUAAGUUUUGGUUACUAACUUCAUAAUUUGAGAUAAUGUUUUGUUAAAAAAUGACAGGGAUGGGACCCACAGAAAAGUAAACGGUCGUCGUCAUUUAGGUUGAGGGUCUCAGUAAGCCCGUUUCGUCUCGUGAUUGUUGCGUUAUAUCUCAUCCUUUUGUCAUUUUCGGUACUUACAUCUUUUAUGAGGAAAAAAAGGCAUUCCAUAUCCAUUGCUUUCAAAAUAUUUUUCUAUUAAUGAUUUUUUUUUUAUCUUUAUUUCUACUUAACAAAAUAACUAUUGGUACAAUUUUCUAAAG
rnacentral:lncRNA from 1 species